rnacentral:ncRNA from 2 species
CCAACACAAUCUGGAGAAUGGUAAAUUACCUACCGAAGGGAAGAAAAUGAUGAUAAAAUCAAACCUAGCAUCAUCAUUGAAAAUCUCAGGUCAAAGGACAGAUGGGGUGCU